UUCACUCUUUUUUCUCUAUCUCUCUCCCCCAAUUUCCCUAUCUUCAUUCUUUUCUUUUCUUCAACUUUUCACUACCGAACCGCCCACCGUCACGGUCCAUUCUCCAAAUCUCUCACCCAAAUCUUUAUUCUCCAAAUCUUCGAAGGCCAUAAGACCAAUCUCCAAACUCCUCAGUUUCCAAAACCCUAACAACCUUCUCCUCCGUACCAUCGUUUCCAAACCUGAGCUUCGGAAUCCCAAACCCGCCGCACAACCCCAGCCUGAACAGCCUCUUGUCGAUCUAUCUUCACAUACUCCCGUUGGCGGCGCCAGAGCCCAUUUCCCUAAUCCCGACGACACCACCGAAGGUUUUCGUUGAUGGAUAUCCCGGUCAAUGAUUUCAUAAGUUAUUGUGGCUGGAGAAUUUAGCACUACCAAGACACUCAAUGAGCUGAAAUUGGAAUGCAAGUUUUAAUUUUUCAUACAGUACAAAUCAGAUAAAAUGAUGCAAGCCUCCAUGGGACAAAGAACUUGGAAAGAACUUGGAAAGACGUACAUAAUUCACUACACUUAUGGUUGUGACUAUACAAUGAAGGGUGAACUGGCCUAUGGAAAUAUUGGAGAAUGGAGGUUUGAUAAAAAGAUCUUAUGAUGAUUUUGCUCCUCCAAAAAAUCUGACAUUGCCACCACCUGGUGCUCCUCCAAAAUGAUGAUUCCCUAUCAUUAAUGCAGUUGAAGACUGAGUGUGGCAGUCAGUUUACAAACAAACUUGAAGGAAUGUUUAAGGUAUAUAUCUUUGAAUUAGUUUAAAGCUUUUAGACAUUUUAAGACUUGAAUGUGCUGUUUUCGGAAGCUGUGGCAGCUUCUCUCAACUGCUCAUUAUCAUCGUUUUCGUCAUUUGAAACCAUAAAAGGAGUGAUAGAUCAUCUUGACAAUGAGGGUUUUCAAGAAGAGGAAAAUGAAGAGGUUCAUUACAACACAUUUGAGGUUAAGAUUUCUGUUUAAUAAUUUCCAUUACAGGAAUUUUGAAGAUGUUGAUGUGAUUAGUUGAUUUCUCAUAGGAUUAUGUUAAAUUUUGUUUAGAAAGAUUUUCUUUUGCUUUAAAUUCGCAUGCUUGCUUCAAUUCCUUUUUCACUCUUGGACUCUUGUGAAUCUUGUAUACUUUUGAUAGUUUUUUUUAACUUAUUUUUUGUUAUUGUGAAUUUUAAAGUCUUGGUAUUAGAAAUCUAUUUUCUUUUGGUUAAGGGAACAAGUUUUUGUUGUUAUUGUUAAAUUAGAAGUAUCUAAUUGAUCACAUAAUCCUACUAUAUAAUUUAAUUGAAUUAAAUAUAGAGAAUCAAUCAUCUAAAGCUUAACUACUUACAUUCAUUGGUUAUUGUACUUAUGUUUUCCAGUUGAUUUUAUACAAUAAAUAAUUGUUCUUAUGUUCUUCUGUUGCAGAGCUGAUAUUAUGACCGGAUGAGUCUCAUUGGUUGAUAUUAUGACUAGGUGACUCGUAAACUUUUCCUGUACAUCAAUUGACCGUAGCGUCGGCUACACCGACGCAAUCAAAUUUAUUGAUGUUGUCAUUAGCGACGGUCCCUCCGACGCUACCAAUUUUUCCCAAAUACCAAAUCAACGGAUAUAAUAUAGCGUCGGAUAUUUAUUUUUGCUUGUAGCGUCGGUUUAGAGUAGGCCUUUCCGACGUUAUUUAAGCGUCGGAUCAGACGCUGUCGAUUAGCUUCGGCCGUUUUAUCCUAGGCCUGUAGCCGACGCUAAUCGGACACUACAUCAACGUUAGCGUCGGCAUUUAGCCUAUAAACGUGGGCUUUUGACCGACGCUAAAAUCAAUUUUUCUAGUAUUGUUCAGUUUUGAUCCUCAAAAUUGAAUUUUGGUCCAAAACUUGAUGAAGUUUCAUUUUUUUAAGCCGCAUCACACCAUUUAUGAUCAUACAUUUUAGGUACAAUUGUUGCACCACGAGAUCUUGAUGCAUGAUGUGACUUAAAUAAACGCAAAAAAAAAAAUGAAACUUCAUCAAGUCUUAGACCAAAAUUCUGUUUGAGGGACCAAAACUAGAGAGAAACAAAAUGGAAGGACUACUUUUGAAAAUUCAACUAAAAUGGGGGGACCAACACUGCAAUUAAGCCAUUUAUUUUUUAGAAGAAGCCAUUCUUUAAUUUUAUGCAGAGACAAAACCAAAAAUGACAAAUAAAAGUUCACAUUGUUGAUGCCAGCCUUAUUGCAUAUGGACAAUUUGAUGAGUAAUUCCAGUGUAGUUAUAACCACAAAUACAAAUAUGAUUUAGUCACACACAAAAUAUAUAUUUAUUUAAUUUUUU